ACAUACAUAAGAUGUAGUGAUUAUGCAUAGCAAUUAUUAGCUGGUCACCAGUCCUUUUAGUGUCAUUUAGGUGCAUGGAAAGGCAGUUUCUCUUCCAUUCUG